CAGUCGAACGAACUUAAUACAUUCUUUUAGAUUGUAAGCGGUUAGUGGCGGACUGGUGAGUAACGCGUGAGUAACCUGCCUAUUAGAGGGGAAUAACAGUGAGAAAUCAUUGCUAAUACCGCAUAUGCUCACAGUAUCGCAUGAUACAGUGAGGAAAGGAGCAAUCCACUAAUAGAUGGACUCGCGUCUGAUUAGCUAGUUGGUGAGGUAGAAGCUUACCAAGGCGACGAUCAGUAGCCGGACUGAGAGGUUGAACGGCCACAUUGGGACUGAGAUACGGCCCAGACUCCUACGGGAGGCAGCAGUCGGGAAUAUUGCGCAAUGGAGGAAACUCUGACGCAGUGACGCCGCGUAUAGGAAGAAGGUUUUCGGAUUGUAAACUAUUGUCGUUAGGGAAGAAAAAAGACAGUACCUAAGGAGGAAGCCCCGGCUAACUAUGUGCCAGCAGCCGCGGUAAUACAUAGGGGGCAAGCGUUAUCCGGAAUUAUUGGGUGUAAAGGGUGCGUAGACGGGUGUCUAAGUUGGUUGUGAAAUCCCUCGGCUCAACUGAGGAACUGCAACCAAAACUGGAUAUCUUGAGUGUCGGAGAGGAAAGUGGAAUUCCUAGUGUAGCGGUGAAAUGCGUAGAUAUUAGGAGGAACACCAGUGGCGAAGGCGACUUUCUGGACGAUAACUGACGUUGAGGCACGAAAGUGUGGGGAGCAAACAGGAUUAGAUACCCUGGUAGUCCACACUGUAAACGAUGGAUACUAGGUGUAGGGUGUUUAAGCACUCUGUGCCGCCGCAAACGCAUUAAGUAUCCCACCUGGG
rnacentral:rRNA from 1 species